rnacentral:rRNA from 1 species
CCUACGGGCGGCAGCAGUGAGGAAUAUUGGUCAAUGGGCGCGAGCCUGAACCAGCCAAGUCGCGUGAGGGAAGACGGUCCUAUGGAUUGUAAACCUCUUUUGUCGGGGAGCAAAAGACGCCACGCGUGGCGUUCCGAGAGUACCCGAAGAAAAAGCAUCGGCUAACUCCGUGCCAGCAGCCGCGGUAAUACGGAGGAUGCGAGCGUUAUCCGGAUUUAUUGGGUUUAAAGGGUGCGCAGGCGGAAGAUCAAGUCAGCGGUAAAAUUGAGGGGCUCAACCUCUUCGAGCCGUUGAAACUGGUUGUCUUGAGAGGGUGAGAAGUAUGCGGAAUGCGCGGUGUAGCGGUGAAAUGCAUAGAUAUUGCGCAGAACUCCGAUUGCGAAGGCAGCAUACCGGCGCUCAACUGACGCUGAUGCACGAAAGUGUGGGUAUCGAACAGGAUUAGAUACCCUUGUAGUC